rnacentral:rRNA from 1 species
ACGGCUCAGUAACACGUGGGUAACCUAACCUAUGCAGGGGAAUAACCUCGGGAAACUGAGAAUAAUGCCCCAUAGUCCACUACGCCUGGAACGGUGAGUGGAUAAAAGCUCAGGCGGCAUAGGAUGGGCCUGCGGCGUAUCAGGUUGUAGGGGGUGUAAAGUACCCUCUAGCCCUCUACGCGUACGGGUGUUGGGAGACAUAGCCCGGAGAUGGAUUCUGAGACACGAAUCCAGACCCUACGGGGUGCAGCAGGCGCGAAAACUUGGCAAUGCGAGCAAUCGUGACCAGGGAACUCCAAGUGGCUGGGGUAAGACCCAGUCUUUUCAGAACUCUUCAAAGGUUUUAGAAUAAGGGGUGGGUAAGGACGGUGCCAGCCGCCGCGGUAAUACCGGCGCCUCAAGUGGUAGUCGCUUUUAUUGGGCCUAAAACGUCCGUAGCCGGUUUGGUACAUUCGUGGGUAAAUCAACUCGCUCAACGAGUUGAAUUCUGCGAGGACGGCCAGACUUGGGACCGGGAGAGGUGUGGGGUACUCUCAGGGUAGGGGUAAAAUCCUGUCAUCCUGAGAGGACCACCUGUUGCGAAGGCGCCACACUAGAACGGAUCCGACGGUCAGGGACGAAGCCUAGGGGCACGAACCGGAUUAGAUACCCGGGUAGUCCUAGGUGUAAACGCUGUGGACUUGAUGUUGGAGGAGCUCCGAGCUCUUUCAGUGUCGAAGCGAAGGUGAUAAGUCCACUGCCUGGGAAGUACGGUCGCAAGGCUGAAACUUAAAGGAAUUGGCGGGGGAGCAC